rnacentral:rRNA from 1 species
GACGAACGCUGGCGGCGUGCCUAACACAUGCAAGUCGAACGGAACUGUUUUGAAAGAUUUCUUCGGAAUGAAUUUGAUUUAGUUUAGUGGCGGACGGGUGAGUAACGCGUGAGUAACCUGCCUUCAAGAGGGGAAUAACAUUCUGAAAAGAAUGCUAAUACCGCAUGACAUAUCGGAACCACAUGGUUUUGAUAUCAAAGAUUUUAUCGCUUGAAGAUGGACUCGCGUCCGAUUAGUUAGUUGGUGAGGUAACGGCUCACCAAGACCGCGAUCGGUAGCCGGACUGAGAGGUUGAACGGCCACAUUGGGACGGAGACACGGCCCAGACUCCUACGGGAGGCAGCAGUGGGGGAGAUUGCGCAAUGGGGGCAACCCUGACGCAGCAACGCCGCGUGAAGGAUGAAGGUUUUCGGAUUGUAAACUUCUUUUAUUAAGGACGAAAAAUGACGGUACUUAAUGAAUAAGCUCCGGCUAACUACGUG